UACGUAGGGUGCAAGCGUUAAUCGGAAUUACUGGGCGUAAAGCGUGCGCAGGCGGUUAUGUAAGACAGUUGUGAAAUCCCCGGGCUCAACCUGGGAACUGCAUCUGUGACUGCAUAGCUAGAGUACGGUAGAGGGGAUGGAAUUCCGCGUGUAGCAGUGAAAUGCGUAGAUAUGCGGAGGAACACCGAUGGCGAAGGCAAUCCCCUGGACCUGUACUGACGCUCAUGCACGAAAGCGUGGGAGCAACAGG
rnacentral:rRNA from 1 species